rnacentral:rRNA from 1 species
AUGUAAUGUAAUGCCUACAAUGUUAAGGCAUCAUAUCCCAUUAGAACUCUGUAGUUAAGUGCUCUUGGGAUAAAGUAGUACUGCAAUGGGUGACCUCUCGAGAAGUCCUUAUGUUUUACAUG